rnacentral:rRNA from 1 species
CCUACGGGUGGCAGCAGUGAGGAAUAUUGGUCAAUGGACGAGAGCCUGAACCAGCCAAGUCGCGUGAAGGAUGACGGCCCUAUGGGUUGUAAACUUCUUUUAUAUGGGAGUAAAAUGUUCCACGUGUGGGAUUUUGUAUGUACCAUAUGAAUAAGGAUCGGCUAACUCCGUGCCAGCAGCCGCGGUAAUACGGAGGAUGCGAGCGUUAUCCGGGUUUAUUGGGGUUAAAGGGUGAGUAGGUGGGAGGUUAAGUCCGUUGUGAAAGUUGGAAGCUCAAACCUAAAAUGGCAGUUGAAACUGGCAGUCUUGAGUGCAGUAGAGGUGGGCGGAAUGCGUGGUGUAGCGGUGAAAUGCUUAGAUAUCACGAAGAACUCCGAUUGCGAAGGCAGUUCACUGGACUGCAACUGACGCUGAGGCUCGAAAGUGUGGGUAUCAAACAGGAUUAGAUACCCUUGUAGUC